AGCGGGGUAGACCAGUAGUAGGUCGCAAGGCUCAUAACCUUGAGGCGCCGGUGCAAUUCCGGCCUCCGCAA
rnacentral:tRNA from 1 species